GACGAACGCUGGCGGCGUGCUUAACACAUGCAAGUCGAACGGAAAGGCCCUGCUUUUGUGGGGUGCUCGAGUGGCGAACGGGUGAGUAACACGUGAGUAACCUGCCCUUGACUUUGGGAUAACUUCAGGAAACUGGGGCUAAUACCGGAUAGGAGCUCCUGCUGCAUGGUGGGGGUUGGAAAGUUUCGGCGGUUGGGGAUGGACUCGCGGCUUAUCAGCUUGUUGGUGGGGUAGUGGCUUACCAAGGCUUUGACGGGUAGCCGGCCUGAGAGGGUGACCGGCCACAUUGGGACUGAGGUACGGCCCAGACGCCUACGGGAGGCAGCAGUGGGGAGUAUUGCACAGUGGGCGGAAGCCUGAUGCAGCAACGCCGCGUGCGGGAUGACGGCCUUCGGGUUGUAAACCGCUUUCGCCUGUGACGAGGCGUGAGUGACGGUAAUGGGUAAAGAAGCACCGGCUAACUACGUG
rnacentral:rRNA from 1 species